GACGAACGCUGGCGGCGUGCCUAAUACAUGCAAGUAGAACGCUGAAGGAGGAGCUUGCUUCUCUGGAUGAGUUGCGAACGGGUGAGUAACGCGUAGGUAACCUGCCUGGUAGCGGGGGAUAACUAUUGGAAACGAUAGCUAAUACCGCAUAAUAGUAGAUGUUGCAUGACAUUUGCUUAAAAGGUGCAAUUGCAUCACUACCAGAUGGACCUGCGUUGUAUUAGCUAGUUGGUGGGGGAACGGCUCACCAAGGCGACGAUACCUAGCCGACCUGGGAGGGGGGUCGGCCCCCCUGGGACUGGGACACGGCCCAGGCUCCUUCGGGAGGCCGCAGUAGGGAAUCUUCGGCAAUGGACGGAAGGCUGACCGAGCAACGCCGCGUGAGAGAAGAAGGUUUUCGGAUCGUAAAGCUCUGUUGUAAGAGAAGAACGAGUGUGAGGGUGGAAAGUUCACACUGUGACGUUAUCUUACCAGAAAGGGACGGCUAACUACGUG
rnacentral:rRNA from 1 species